AAUAAGAUGCCUGAAAAAGGGUUAUUUUGAUAGAAUAAAUUAUGUAAUAUUUACUCUUAUUG
rnacentral:tRNA from 1 species